UACGUAGGGGGCAAGCGUUGUCCGGAUUUAUUGGGCGUAAAGAGCGUGUAGGCGGCCAGACAGGUCAGCUGUGAAAACUCGAGGCUCAACCUCGAGACGUCGGUUGAAACCGUCUGGCUAGAGUCCGGAAGAGGAGAGUGGAAUUCCCGGUGUAGCGGUGAAAUGCGCAGAUAUCGGGAGGAACACCUAUGGCGAAGGCAGCUCGCUGGGACGUUACUGACGCUGAGACGCGAAAGCGUGGGGAGCAAACAGG
rnacentral:rRNA from 1 species